rnacentral:rRNA from 1 species
AUACGGAGGGGGCUAGCGUUGUUCGGAAUUACUGGGCGUAAAGCGCGCGUAGGCGGACCGGUCAGUUGGGGGUGAAAUCCCGAGGCUCAACCUCGGAACUGCCUUCAAUACUGCCAGUCUUGAGUCCGGGAGAGGUGAGUGGAAUUCCUAGUGUAGAGGUGAAAUUCGUAGAUAUUAGGAAGAACACCAGUGGCGAAGGCGGCUCACUGGCCCGGUACUGACGCUGAGGCGCGAAAGCGUGGGGAGCAAACAGGAUUAGAUACCCCAGUAGUCC